CCCCCCAUAGCUUAGUGGUAAAGCAGUUGCCUUUUAAGCAAUUGAUCUAGGUUCGAUUCCUAGUGGGGGGACCA
rnacentral:tRNA from 1 species